GUUGCAAAGAACUUUGAAGAGAGAGUUCAAGAGUACGUGAAACUGCUGAGAGGCAAACUGGUGGGCCCUCGAAAUCCCGCAUGCGGGGAGAUUCAGUCGGGUGUCGGCGGCCGUCUCCCGCGAGUUCGUUGCAACCGAAGAUCGGGGCACGUUCUAGGAGGCGCGUUCGUCAGAACCCGACGCAUUUCUCGCCCGCACGAGAGGACGCCGCAGCCGGUCGGGUAGCUGCGCGUGUCGGCCAUGAGGACGUGGCAGCGGCAGGUGACCGGCGGCCCUAGGCCUCUCUCGGAGGCACUAACGGUCGACGGUUGAUUAGCCGGCUCGUCCGUGGCGCGACACCCGACCGAGGUCGAGAAGAGAGAGUUCCGUGGCGGAAUCCCGGAACGAAUCCACUACUUUCUAACUUGAGAGCGAGCCGUCGGACAGGCGCGUUCCUGCGUGGUCGGGCAGUCACCGAACUGGUCGAUCUGGUGGGAGCGCGUCGCUGGUUUCCGAGUCGGGAUCUCGCGGAGGAUGGAAGGCUGGCGGCGAGUAGGUCGGUAACCCACCCGACCCGUCUUGAAACACGGACCAAGGAGUCUAACAUGUGCGCGAGUCGCAGGGUCUUGAAUAGGCCCACAGGCGAAAUGAAAGUGAAGGCCGCCGCCGCUUCCGAGCCCCUUUUCGGGGGGGCGAGGGAGCGUCGCGGCCCGGUCGGGACUCGCACGUGACACGGCACGUGACGAAGCACCGACGACCCGCCCUGGUUCUAUCUACGAUAGGAACUCAAACGGAGUUCGAGCGCACACGUUGGGACCCGAAAGAUGGUGAACUAUGCCUGGGCAGGACGAAGCCAGAGGAAACUCUGGUGGAGGUCCGCAGCGGUUCUGACGU
rnacentral:rRNA from 1 species